rnacentral:rRNA from 1 species
UCCUGGCUUAGGAUGAACGCUAGCGGCAGGCUUAACACAUGCAAGGUCGAGGGGCAGCGCGAGUAGCAAGUACUGGCGGCGACCGGCGCAAGGGUGCGUAACGCGUGAGCAACGAUGCCCGUAUCAGGGGGAUAAUCCAGGGAAACUUGGUCUAAUACCCCAUAGUAAUUUUGGUAAGGCAAUCUUAUAAGAUUUAAAGCUUUGGUGGAUACGGAUUGGCUCGCGUGACAUUAGCUGGAUGGUAAGGUAACGGCUUACCAUGGCUAUGAUGUCUAGGGGUUCUGAGAGGAAGGUCCCCACACUGGAACUGAGACACGGUCCAGACUCCUACGGGAGGCAGCAGUGAGGAAUAUUGGACAAUGGAUGGAAAUCUGAUCCAGCCAUGCCGCGUGAAAGGAAGAAGGUCCUAUGGAUUGUAAACUUCUUUUGUAUGGGAGCAAUAAGGCCUACGAGUAGGUUGAUGAGAGUACCAUACGAAUAAGCACCGGCUAACUCCGUGCCAGCAGCUGC